UACGUAGGGGGCGAGCGUUAUCCGGAUUUAUUGGGCGUAAAGCGUGUGUAGGUGGUUCGUAAGGUCAGGCGUAAAAUAUCACAGCUUAACUGUGUAGGGCGUUUGAAACCGACGGACUUGAAUACGGUAGAGGCAGGUGGAAUUCCAUGUGUAGCGGUGGAAUGCGUAGAUAUAUGGAGGAACACCAAUGGCGAAGGCAACCUGCUGGGCCGGAAUUGACACUGAGACACGAAAGCGUGGGGAGCAAACAGGAUUAGAUACCCUGGUAGUCCACGCCGUAAACGAUGAGAACUAAGUGUUGGCGCAAGUCAGUGCUGAAGUUAACGCAUUAAGUUCUCCGCCUGGGUAGUACGGUCGCAAGACUG
rnacentral:rRNA from 1 species